AACGAACGCUGGCGGCAGGCCUAACACAUGCAAGUCGAGCGCCCUUUCGGGGGAGCGGCGGACGGGUGAGUAACGCGUGGGAAUAUGCCCUUCUCUACGGAAUAGCCUCGGGAAACUGAGAGUAAUACCGUAUACGCCCUGUGGGGGAAAGAUUUAUCGGGGAAGGAUUAGCCCGCGUUGGAUUAGGUAGUUGGUGGGGUAAUGGCCUACCAAGCCGACGAUCCAUAGCUGGUUUGAGAGGAUGAUCAGCCACACUGGGACUGAGACACGGCCCAGACUCCUACGGGAGGCAGCAGUGGGGAAUCUUAGACAAUGGGGGCAACCCUGAUCCAGCCAUGCCGCGUGAGUGAUGAAGGCCUUAGGGUUGUAAAGCUCUUUCAGCUGGGAAGAUAAUGACGGUACCAGCAGAAGAAGCCCCGGCUAACUCCGUG
rnacentral:rRNA from 1 species